GGGAGGAGGGAGGAGGGGGGAGGAGGAGGAGAGAGCAGAGUAUACCGCAGACAUCAUUUCUACUACAGUGGCGGAGCCGUACAGGACCUGUUUCACUGCAGGGGGAUCCAAAACAAGCCCCGUGGAGCAGCAGCCAGAGCUACAGCAGCCGCAAGACACUGUUUCUCUCCCUCUGCCCCCCCUUCCCCACGCAACCCCAGAUCCAUUUACACUUUACAGAGGAGCCGGCUGCAAAUCACCGAGGUGUUCCAUUCAAGCUGCAGAUUUGUCUGUCGUCUUUGGACAGCAGUCUCUUCCUCCACGGCUGCUUUGGGGGAGUCCAACACCCAUCGGCAGUCUGGAGCAAAAUGAAAGAGCUUAUGUCGAGGCCUCCCAAGCAGUGCUGCUACAGACCAUGAACAAGAGAGGAGGAGGAGACCUCAGCCUGCACGAACGAUCCUGA
rnacentral:lncRNA from 1 species